UACAGAGGUGGCAAGCGUUGUUCGGAAUUACUGGGCGUAAAGGGCGCGUAGGCGGCCUUCUAAGUCAGACGUGAAAUCCCCCGGCUUAACCUGGGAACUGCGUCUGAUACUGGAGGGCUUGAGUGCGGGAGAGGGAUGUGGAAUUCCAGGUGUAGCGGUGAAAUGCGUAGCUAUCUGGAGGAACACCGGUGGCGAAGGCGGCAUCCUGGACCGACACUGACGCUGAGGCGCGAAAGCUAGGGUAGCAAACAGG
rnacentral:rRNA from 1 species